rnacentral:rRNA from 1 species
AGGACGAACGCUGGCGGCGUGCUUAACACAUGCAAGUCGAGCGGUAAGGCCCCUUCGGGGGUACACGAGCGGCGAACGGGUGAGUAACACGUGAGCAAUCUGCCCUUCACUUUGGGAUAACCACCGGAAACGGUGGCUAAUACCGGAUACGACCAGUCUCUGCAUGGGGUGCUGGUGGAAAGUUCUGGCGGUGGAGGAUGAGCUCGCGGCCUAUCAGCUUGUUGGUGGGGUAAUGGCCUACCAAGGCGACGACGGGUAGCCGGCCUGAGAGGGUGACCGGCCACACUGGGACUGAGACACGGCCCAGACUCCUACGGGAGGCAGCAGUGGGGAAUAUUGGACAAUGGGCGAAAGCCUGAUCCAGCAACGCCGCGUGAGGGAUGACGGCCUUUGGGUUG